rnacentral:rRNA from 1 species
UACGGAGGGGGCUAGCGUUGUUCGGAAUUACUGGGCGUAAAGCGCACGUAGGCUGCUUUGUAAGUCAGAGGUGAAAGCCCGGAGCUUAACUCCGGAAUUGCCUUUGAGACUGCAUCGCUUGAAUCCGGGAGAGGUGAGUGGAAUUCCGAGUGUAGAGGUGAAAUUCGUAGAUAUUCGGAAGAACACCAGUGGCGAAGGCGGCUCACUGGACCGGUAUUGACGCUGAGGUGCGAAAGCGUGGGGAGCAAACAGG